rnacentral:misc_RNA from 1 species
GUUGCUUUAUUAUCACUUCGGGAUUUUUAAUCAUCAACUUAUUUUGAGAAUUCUUGAAUGUUCUGUGCUAUGAAGAUUAUCUGUUCUCUAAUUAUUUUCUAAUUAUUCUCAAAAUGUGAUAAUUAUUUUCUAAUUGUUAUUGAAAUGAAUAAUAUGUUUUUCUAGCUUGAAUUAUCAACUGAUCAUUUGUUGAAUUUGGGUGCCAGGAAAUGAAACUG